rnacentral:rRNA from 1 species
CAGUAGCCGCGGUAAUACGUAGGGUGCAAGCGUUAAUCGGAAUUACUGGGCGUAAAGCGUGCGCAGGCGGUUAUAUAAGACAGAUGUGAAAUCCCCGGGCUCAACCUGGGAACUGCAUUUGUGACUGUAUAGCUAGAGUACGGCAGAGGGGGAUGGAAUUCCGCGUGUAGCAGUGAAAUGCGUAGAUAUGCGGAGGAACACCGAUGGCGAAGGCAAUCCCCUGGGCCUGUACUGACGCUCAUGCACGAAAGCGUGGGGAGCAAACAGGAUUAGAUACCCGAGUAGUCCCUGUCUCUUAUAA